rnacentral:rRNA from 1 species
GAAGCCGGCCACAAGAUAAGAUUUCUUAGGGUCGUCAAAGACUAUGACGUUGAUAGGAUGCAGGUGUAAAGCUGGAGACAGCAAAGCCGAGCAUUACUAAUUGCCCGUUAACUUUCAUUGUC